GACGAACGCUGGCGGCGUGCUUAACACAUGCAAGUCGAGCGGUAAGGCCCUUUCGGGGGUACACGAGCGGCGAACGGGUGAGUAACACGUGGGUGACCUGCCCUUAGCUCUGGGAUAAGCCUGGGAAACUGGGUCUAAUACCGGAUAUGACUCCAUGACGCAUGUUGUGGGGUGGAAAGCCUUGUGCGGCUAGGGAUGGGCCCGCGGCCUAUCAGCUUGUUGGUGGGGUGAUGGCCUACCAAGGCGACGACGGGUAGCCGGCCUGAGAGGGCGACCGGCCACACUGGGACUGAGACACGGCCCAGACUCCUACGGGAGGCAGCAGGUGGGGAAUCUUGCGCAAUGGGCGAAAGCCUGACGCAGCGACGCCGCGUGAGGAUGACGCCU
rnacentral:rRNA from 1 species